GUGUCAGCAGCCGCGGUAAAACGUAGGUGACGAGCGUUAUCCGGAUUUACUGGGCGUAAAGCGUGUGCAGGCGGGAUGGUAAGUGGUGUAUGAAAGCUCCGGGCUCAACUCGGAGAGGUUAUGCCAGACUGCCAACCUAGAGGUAGCAAGAGGGACAUGGAAUUCCGGGUGUAGUGGUGAAAUGCGUAGAGAUCCGGAGGAACUCCAGAGGCGAAGGCGGUGUCCUGGUGCUGACCUGACGCUCAGACACGAAAGCAUGGGGAGCGAACGGGAUUAGAUACCCGCGUAGUCC
rnacentral:rRNA from 1 species